rnacentral:lncRNA from 1 species
GCUCACAUGGCAUAGCUCAAGUAGGCAACAAGAUUUACUCUUUUGGUGGUGAGCUCAUACCAAAUCAGCCCAUCGAUAAACACCUUUACGUCUUUGACCUCGAGACCCGGACUUGGUCCAUUGCUCCAGCCACCGGAGACGUUCCACACCUCUCUUGCUUAGGUGUCCGUAUGGUGUCAGUAGGAUCGACCCUCUAUACCUUUGGAGGCCGAGACUUUUCACGCCAAUACAACGGUUUCUACUCGUUUGACACGACAACAAACGAGUGGAAACUGCUAACUCCGGUGGAAGAAGGACCCACUCCUCGUAGUUUCCAUUCGAUGGCAGCGGAUGAGGAAAACGUUUACGUUUUCGGUGGAGUGGGUGCUAUGGAUCGAAUCAAGACACUAGACUCUUACAAUAUCGUUGACAAGACGUGGUUUCAUUGUUCGAAUCCAGGAGAUUCCUUUAGCAUAAGAGGAGGAGCAGGGCUCGAAGUGGUGCAAGGGAAAGUAUGGAUUGUGUAUGGAUUUAACGGAUGUGAAGUAGAUGAUGUUCAUUUCUACGAUCCUGCUGAAGACAAAUGGACACAAGUGGAAACAUUCGGUGUGAAGCCUAACGAAAGGAGUGUUUUCGCUAGUGCGGCUAUUGGGAAACACAUUGUGAUAUUUGGAGGUGAGAUUGCGAUGGAUCCACGAGCUCACGUAGGUCCGGGUCAAUUAAUCGAUGGGACUUUCGCGUUGGAUACAGAGACGUUGCAAUGGGAGAGGUUAGAUAAGUUUGAGGGGACUCCGAGUAGCAGAGGAUGGACCGCGUCCACGACUGGAACCAUUGAUGGUAAGAAAGGACUUGUGAUGCAUGGUGGUAAAGCUCCAACCAAUGACCGGUUUGAUGACCUCUUCUUUUACGGAAUUGACUCUGUCUGAUUAAGCGCGAUUUGAUCAUGACCGUUUGUGUUUUAUUUGUUUGUGUGUCUGUGUGUCUGUGUGAUGCAAUAAGGGAGGGAUCGUGAUACCUCUAUAUGAUCCUUCGUCAGCUUAUCCAUUUUAUUUUUUAUUUUCUAAAUGUAUCUUUUUGUUUUUUGUUUUCUGUUUUGUAUGUUUAAUGUUUCGUGGCUUGUUCAAUAAGAUGUUUAUUUUCCGAAUUUUUUUUGGGUAUGUUACGUUAUACUACAAACAAAAAUAUUAUGAUUUUGAUUUUCUCUAAAGAUGAAAUGAAUAGAACAAGAAGUCAGCAGAUAGGGUGGUUUCAUCUACUUUUGUGGUUGGUAAAUGUGGUUAGAAAAAUUUGCAUUGAAUUGUAAGUUUCUAUCCAUAAAAGAAACAAAAAAUUAAUGUAAUCAAGAGUGGAAAGUUACCAAUGGAUUAUAAAAAUCUUGCAAUUCUAAUAAAUCCUCAUGUCAACGGUACAGAUAAGAUAAGGGUAAGGGGCAAACAAUCUUGUUGGUUCAAAUGGCAAGUAAACAAGGGCAAUUAUAUCCACCUAAUCCAUUGCGUUUUCUUUCUCUAAUCUUAGAAUCUACUUUAAUUGUAUGUUUUUCUCUUUCAUCUACUUUCCAAAACUAUAUAACCUCAUUUCUAUACUUUUUAUGCAUUUAUUUUGAAACCCCUUUAUCAAAAAAAAAAAAGGGGCCAAUUUUUCUUCAAAAAUGGUUACUUUAAGAUUCUCAUAUACAGUGUGCCAAAAAAAAAAAAGGUACCUAAAAUAUUUAUUAUUUCAGAUAUUGGUCAACAUAUUAUCUGUAACAGAAAAAUGUUCACGUGAUAUUUGCGAAUCACAUUUUUCUAGGGGCAAAAGUGAUAUAUGAGAAUCUUAAAGUAACCUUUUCUAGAAUAAUUGCCCUUGUUUACUUGCCACUGUAGUCAUUUAUUUAAUUUAUGUUCAAAAACAGAUUACCUACCUAAUUCACCGAAACGAAAAAUUUUGUUGCCAGUUUUUGUUUUUUUUAAUUUUUUUUUUCCUCUUUUUAGUUUACCUUCUCUUUUUUCUGUUCAACAUUAAACUAGAAGGUAGAGUAAUAAAUAACGAUGGAUGGAUGUGUUGAAAACGCGCUUUAUGCAUGAUUCAUACGAGAGCAGCUGAGGAGGAGACAAAAAACGGGUCUACACUAUAUCAGACUUUUUUUUGUUUUUUUGGUGUAAAACUAUAUCAGAUGGAAAAAUAUCAACCAAAUAAUGUAGAAACUAUAUCAAACUUUUAACAAAACUAUCAACCCAAUAUUUUAUAUUUUAUUAAAAAACAAUACUAAUAAUUUUUCCUUUUCCUCGUUUUUUUUUUUCUGAUCAACCAUUCACACGUUGUUUUUCGUAAUUAUGAUUCUGCAUAAUGCUUUCUCUAAAUCAAAAACUCCACGCCACGGUUCAACUGAUGUAGUGCCUCCACCGUUGUCGUUUGACUCGUUGCAGAGGACACCAUUAUGCACUUCGAUUCAUUUUCAAAAUCGUCUUUCUCUACUGAAUUGUUACUCCAUUUAAUUUUUUGGUCCAUAGAUAACAUAGACCAUUAUACUAGUAUGUUAAAUGUAUACUUAUCAGUUACCGCACAACAUUAAUUCUUAAAGAGGGUUCAUUUUCGAGAAUUGAGUACAACACUACCAUUAGGCCAAAAUGCGAGAGGCAAAAAAAGAUAUAGCAUAUACUUAUCAUGAAUAAUGAAAAUCUUUUCCAUCCAAAUAAAAAUCUUUCUUCUCAUAAAAGAAAGAAGAGAAAAAACAAUGAGUUUGCAUAUCUUUAUCCUGUAGAAUGAUAAUCUUCCCCAUCAACUACUGUAGAUCGUCAACGUGUACUCACUUCCAUUAUCGAUCGAAUCAUCAAUUUAAUGCCUCGUGAAUCACGAGAUCAUAUAAUAUGACAAGAAAUUCGUCCCGUUUAUCUACUGCUGGUCAAUAAAUACUCAUGCAAUUCCCACCAAUAGAUCACUCAACCAAUUUCUUCUCAGGUUCUCUCUUCACACCUCUCCCCUUCUCUAUGAUUAUAGAUAGUAUAUGAUUUGGUUAAAUUAUCUAUAUUUCUUUUUUGAUAAAGGAUUUGGUUAAAUUUUUAAUUGCAGGUAAUACUCGUAAGAUUUAUCAACACAAGCAAAAAAGAUGGCCCAAAAGCUAGAAGCAAAGGGUGGUGAGAUGGGAGAUGUAUGGGAUGAUGGUGUUUACGAAAAUGUUAGAAAGGUAUAUGUAGGGCAAGCACAAUACGGUAUAGCCUUCGUCAAGUUUGAGUAUGUCAAUGGUUCUCAAGUGGUUGUUGGAGAUGAACAUGGAAAGAAGACAGAGCUAGGAGUUGAAGAGGUACUAAAAUAGAUUUUUUUUUUUUUUUUUUUUUUUUUUUUUUUUUAGUCAAAAGGUACUAAAAUAGAUUUAUAUGUUGUGAUUGAUCAAGAGGUAGGGUCUUUUUUUUUUUUGUUGCUUUCCGCAUUGAAAAUUGCUUGGUUUCUUUGCAGUUUGAGAUUGAUGCGGAUGACUACAUCGUAUACGUGGAAGGUUACCGUGAGAAAGUUAACGAUAUGACGUCAGAAAUGAUCACGUUUCUUUCUAUUAAGACUUUUAAAGGCAAAACCUCUCAUCCUAUCGAAAAAAGACCUGGGGUUAAGUUUGUGCUACAUGGUGGAAAAAUCGUUGGGUUUCACGGACGUUCAACAGAUGUUUUACACUCCCUUGGGGCCUAUGUUUCUUUGUCAUCCACUAUCAAAUUGCUUGGGAAGUGGAUUAAGGUAAUAAUCUCUUAGACCAAUCCAAAAACAAAAAUAAAAAAUUAUCUCACAUAAAUAUGUUGUUAUUGUUACCACCGCAAAAUCACUAAAUCACUUACGAGAAAGAAAAAAUGAAGAAGAAAAGAGGGUUGAAUUUGGAAUUCAGAUAAUGACACUUUUAAAAUUUAUAAUUUUAUUAAAUUUAUCUUAUGGGAGUUCAUUAAUCAGAUAAAUAAUUUCUUUAAAAAUAACUAAAAAAUAUUACUCAUAGGUGGAGCAAAAAGGAGAAGGUCCAGGGCUAAGAUGCUCACAUGGCAUAGCACAAGUAGGCAACAAGAUUUACUCCUUUGGUGGCGAGUUCACACCAAAUCAGCCCAUCGACAAACACCUUUACGUCUUUGACCUCGAGACCCGGACUUGGUCCAUUUCUCCAGCCACCGGAGACGUUCCACACCUCUCUUGUUUAGGUGUCCGGAUGGUGUCAGUAGGAUCGACCCUCUAUGUCUUUGGAGGCCGAGACGCUUCACGCCAAUACAACGGUUUCUACUCGUUUGACACGACCACUAACGAGUGGAAACUGCUAACUCCGGUCGAAGAAGGACCCACUCCUCGUAGUUUCCACUCAAUGGCAGCCGAUGAGGAAAACGUUUACGUUUUCGGUGGAGUGAGUGCUACGGCACGACUCAAUACACUAGACUCUUACAACAUCGUUGAUAAGAAGUGGUUUCAUUGUUCGACUCCAGGAGAUUCCCUUACCGCAAGAGGAGGAGCAGGGCUCGAAGUGGUGCAAGGGAAGGUAUGGGUUGUGUAUGGGUUUAACGGAUGUGAAGUAGAUGAUGUUCAUUACUACGAUCCUGUUCAAGACAAGUGGACACAAGUGGAAACAUUCGGUGUGAGGCCUUCCGAAAGAAGUGUAUUCGCUAGUGCGGCUAUUGGGAAACACAUUGUGAUUUUUGGAGGUGAAAUUGCGAUGGACCCGCUAGCUCACGUGGGUCCAGGUCAAUUGACCGAUGGAACUUUUGCAUUGGACACAGAGACGUUGCAAUGGGAGAGGCUGGAUAAGUUUGGUGGAGAGGAAGAGACUCCGAGUAGCAGAGGAUGGACCGCGUCCACGACUGCUACCAUUGAUGGUAAGAAAGGACUUGUGAUGCAUGGUGGUAAAGCUCCAACCAAUGACCGGUUUGAUGAUCUCUUCUUUUACGGGAUUGACUCUGCCUAAUUAAGGCAGAUUUGGUGAUCAUGAACGUUUGUGAAUGUGUGUGUGUGUGUGUGGGUCUGUGUUUGUGUGUGUAAUAAGGGAGGGGUAUACCACCAUAUGAUCCUUCCCCAGCUUGACCAUUGUUUUUUUUUUAAUAUGUUUUUCUUUCUACAUGUUUGUUUCACGUUUCAUGUUGUAUCCAAUAAAUUGUGUACUUUCCUAGUAGUAAUCGCCAGAAAAAAAAAAAAAAAAAAAAAACCUAGUAGGUAGAGUCAUAGCUUACAAUUAAAUAAAUAACGAUGGAUGUGUUGAAAACGCGUUUAUGCAUGAUUCAUGAAUUGUAUAUACGAGAGCAGCCGAGGAGGAGAUAAAGAGAGGGGUCUACAAUGAUCAAUACUAACUUAAUUUUGUAGUGUUGUCAGUCAAUAAUGUAUACCUAUCAAAAUGGGGCCUAUAUUCCAUCACUAGUGAGUUCGUCAGUCAAUAAUGUAUUUUCCGACACUUAAAAAACGUUCCAAAUCAUAAUACUUAUAAUUAUAACCAGAUAAGUUUUACUGAAUCCCAGACUAAUUCUCAAACUUUGCUAUCAUGUUAUUAACAAACAUUACAAUGUAGAGAAAUAUGGAUGCCCUAGUUUCAACUAACACGAUGAAUCAUGUCAAUCACUGUAUAAAUAGUUAAUAAGUUGUGACUUUUUUUUUUGUCGGCUAAUAAGUUGUGACUUUAGGCACCGUCAAUAUUCAACUGUAAUUAUAAUCGUAUAUAAUAAGUGAUUAUAUCUGUCAAAUAUCAUAUAUAACAAAUAAUAUAAUUGUAUGUAUAUAUAUUAUCUCUAUCAACUAUAAUCAUAUACAGAAAGAAAAAAAACAAGUGUUACAUCACGCUUAGCUUAAAAGUUUCGACUUUUUGCACCGUCAUAUUUCACGUGUAAGCAAGAAAUACAAAUGUAAAUAGAUUAUAAUUAAUGAAUUCUCUCGACUCUCUCAACAUAGUAUAUAAAAGGAAAUCUACACAUGAACCGUAUCUUUCUCACUUUUGAAAUAUUUUGAUGUUUUAAAGAAAUUUUUUCAAAAUUUUAUAUAAAUUAUAAAUUAAUUUAAUAUUUUUUGAUUAUUUAUAUUUUUCAUCAGUCUUGUUCAUAAUUGGUUGAAUUGUUUUAAAGUAAAUAUUUCUUUAGCUAAAACAUCUUAUACAAUUAAAAGAAAAAAGUGUAAUCAAAUAACCAAAUAUAAAUUAGUAUUUCAAAUUAUACUUAUUGCAGGGUGAUAAACCUUUUGUCCCAAGUGAAGUUAAACCUAUAAAUAUAUACCCCAUUUAGAGGGUCCUAUAUAACUAAAGUACCACAUAUUUGGUGGUUUAUAUCAUUCAAUUUUUUUGUAACUAACUUAAUAUUUGAUAUGUAAAAUCAUGUUAAAAUAGGAUCAGCAGAUAGAAUAUAUAAAAAAUAAGUCAUGUACAAACGUAACGUUCUUCAUAUCUUAGGUAACGUAUCUAACAAUUUUGUUAAAUAUUAUUAUUUUAAAAAAUUGAACAUAUUAUUUGGAAACUUUUCUUUUGAUAAUUUUGAAAUGGCACUUUGUAAUUAAGAGUUUAAUAAAGAACACGUCACACACAAAAACGAAGAAAGAGAUUAUAGAAAUUAAGUUGUGUUUUCAAUCUUCGUGUAUACAAAACAAAAAUAAAAAUUAGAAAUGAUAUUUCAUACGAUGUUGUUAAAUAAUAUAAUUAUGAAAAUUAGUUGUGCUUUAUAUUAUUAUUUUUGUUGGAAGCUCUAGAAACGAUCGACCUAAUAGUAUAUUUUUGUCACUAAAAAGUGUGAUUAAAAUAUAUAUAUAUAUAUAUAUAUAUAUAUAUAUAUAUAUAAUAUUGUAAUUUUCAACCAAUUCUCGGUUUAGGUGGUUUAUUAUUAUAUUGUUUUUUGAAAAAAUUAAAAAAUAUAUCCUUAUUAGUUCAUUCUUUUCUGGUCAUUCGUUCACACUUUACAACUUGGUUAAUGGCCACUUCUCAAGUUAUCGUUCUUUCAUUUGUUCUACAGUCGCAAGAAAUUAUCGUUCUUUCAUUUGUCAUUAUGCAUAAUGAUUUCUCUUUUCUUUUUAGUGCAUAAUGAUCUCACUACAUAAAAAAAUCUAUCUUACGAUUCAACUAUAUUUAGUCCCAUGCACUCGCUGCAUAACACAUUACUUUCUUCGAUUUAGAGUGAUUUUCACAACCUUGUUUCUGUAUUGUAUAUUUAGUUAGUGUUUGUGAUUACCAAAAAAAAAAAUUGUUUCUUCUUGGCUUAGUCUUUUUAUCUUUUUUUUUUUUUUUGCUUCAUCUAUUUUUCCUCCCAUGACAGAUGAAGACGGCAAGAGAUGCAGCAAAUCUCAUUUAUGAUCUAUCUGAAGAAUCAGCGUCAUCGAUUUGGAGACUCGAACCAUAACAAAAAGAGCAUCACAGUUUCAAUUUAAUUGCUCCUGGCGCUUCCUAUUUCAGCAACAAACAUUAAAUAAUUAAUCCAAUAGAGAUGAUAUAUAUGGAAAUUUCAAAACCAAAAAAAGAAACUUUCAAAACCAAAAUUGCGAAGCCAUAGAAAUCGUGGAUCAUGGAAUUGCGAAGACCAAUGUUGACAUAUGGGAAUUUGGUGUCCCAAUGAGCAGAGAUCACUAAGAUUGGUUUUCGGGAGGAACUUUUUGAGUUCAUGAUUUGAAGAAUUGUCUCGCCUAUAAGCUAUCGUCCAUAGUUUGAGAUUCAUGCGACAAGAAGAAGGUUUGAUUCACUUUCUCCAUUUAAUUGAAUCAUCUUCAUAGAUAUAUUUUCAUACUUAAUCAAUGUUUUUACCAAAAAAAUAAUGUUAUUUUAUUAUUUUGGUUUUAUGUGGUUUGGGAUUGGUGUAGAUUAUAAACCGAUUAAACCAAUGUUUUUGUGUUCUGAGAUUUCAAACUUUUGAACUAAAUAAAUAUACGUUUUGGGGAAUAUCCAAUAUCAAUAUGUAUCAUAGUUUGGACUCUAUCUAUUCCAGUAUGAUAAUUCCCGUGGAAAAAUAUAUCAUCGUCUCUAUUUUAUACAUGCACUUGCAACACAAACCAGCCAUAAAGUGGGUCUAUUCUUAUAAUUUAUGACAACAUGGAACACUAUCAUUGGGCCACGAUGCAAGGAGCGAAGGACGAUGCGAGAAGGUGCUUUACUGAUUUGAUGAACGUGGAGGUGAUUCUGAAUGAUACGAGAUCUCUAAGCUGAAUAUAUAAUAGUAUAGUUUUUCGUAAUUUUUUUUUGUUAAAUUUUUUAUCGCUGCUAAAGAUUAAAUGGCGAGUAAAACUAUACUAUUAUACUUUCAAAGAUCACCCGAGAAAAUGAUGACUGCACAUACUUUCAAUAUCCCAUAGAUGACAUAUCUGUUUUAUUUCCAUCAAGCUAUUCAUCGAAACAAAAGCACAUGACGAUUAUGGGAGAGAAACACUACUCUAAAAUCCCGUAAUAAGCUGCACCACCUAAUUUUUUGUGCCUUGACCAAAAAAAAUUCAAUGUUGCAGUUCAACGAACCUUCUUACGGAGGAUCUUUAAACAAAAUUUAUUUGGUACAUAGAGAAAAAUAUUUUAAUAUAUACUAAUUUAAUGCCUCGCGAUCAACGAGUAGAGAAAAAAUAUGUCGCGUGUAUCUUCUUCCAUUGGUCAAUAAAUACCAAUGCAAUGUUUACUACACAAAUCAUUACUUCAGUCUCACUCUCAGGUCAGCUCUCUCCACAUCUCUCUCAUAUGAUUGUACUAUGUAUAAGAUUUGGUAAUAUUUGUAAUUACAAGUAAAAUUCGUAAAUACAGAUAAUAUUCGUAAGAGGUUGAUCAAACGAAAGCAAAAGAGAUGGCCCAAAAGGUUGAAGCACAAGGAGGAAAUGGCGGUAACCAAUGGGAUGAUGGAUCCGAAUACGACGCUGUGACCAAGAUUCAAGUCGCAGCAGGCGGGAACGGAAUUGAAUAUGUUAAGUUCACAUACGUCAAGAACGGACAAACCGAAGAAGCCCCUCUACGCGGUGUCAAGGGCCGUAGUUUCGAAGCAGAUCCGGUUCCUAUACACUAUCCUUGCCUAUCUCUUCAUUUUUAUCUAUAAGGACAUUGACGUGAAUUAAUAUAUAUAUAUAUAUAGGUUAUAUAUUGUCAAGGGUUUGUUUUGAUAAUGUUCUUUUUAAGAAAUUGACAUUUUGAUCUUGAUCUCUACAGUUUGUGAUAAACCAUCCGGAGGAGCACUUAGUUUCUGUAGAAGGUCGGUAUAACCCUGAAGGACUUAUUCUAGGGCUAACGUUCAAAUCCAACAAGAAGACUUCUGAUCUCAUUGGAUAUGAAGAUGGUACACCGUUCACUCUCCAAGUUCAAGACAAGAAGAUCGUUGGAUUUUAUGGCUUCGCUGGAAACAAUCUCCAUUCUCUUGGAGCGUACUUUGCUCCGUUGACUAAUGUAACCCCCUUGAAUGCCAAAAAGCUAGAAGCAAAGGGUGGUGACACGGGAGAUAUAUGGGAUGAUGGUGUUUACGAUAAUGUUAGAAAGGUAUAUGUAGGGCAAGCCCAAUAUGGUAUAGCCUUCGUCAAGUUUGAGUAUGUCAAUGGUUCUCAAGUGGUUGUUGGAGAUGAACAUGGAAAGAAGACAGAGCUAGGAGUUGAAGAGGUACAAAAAUAGAUAAUUCUAUGUUGUGAUUCGUCAAAAGGAUAUAUAUAUAUAUAUAUUUAUAUGGGUAACCUCACUCAAAAUUAUUUGGUUUCUUUGCAGUUUGAGAUUGAUGCGGAUGACUACAUCGUAUACGUGGAAGGAUACCGUGAGAAAGUUAAUGGUAUGACCUCAGAGAUGAUCACUUUUCUUUCAUUCAAGACUUAUAAAGGCAAAACCUCUCAGCCUAUCGAACAAAGACCUGGUAUUAAGUUUGUGCUACAAGGUGGAAAAAUUGUUGGGUUUCACGGACGUUCGACCGACGUUCUAGACUCCCUCGGGGCUUAUAUUUCAUUGUCGCCCACUCCAAACUUGCAUGGAAAGUGGACAAAGGUAGUAAUCUUUUAUAUAUCACCAUGGGAGCUAGUUCACUAAGCAGACUCUAUAUUAUAAAAAAUCCUAACUAACAAGUAUUAUUAAUUAAUUAUAAGGUGGAUGAAAAUGGAGAUGGUCCAGGGCUAAGAUGCUCGCAUGACAUAGCACAGGUAGGAAACAAGAUUUACUCUUUUGGUGGUGAGUUCACACCAAAUCAGCCCAUCGACAAACACCUUUACGUCUUUGACAUCGAGAGCCGGACUUGGUCCAUUUCUCCAGCCACGGGAGACAUUCCAACCCUCUCUUGCCUAGGUGUCUGUAUGGUGUCAAUAGGAUCGACCCUCUAUGUCUUUGGAGGCCGAGACGCUUCACGUCAAUACAACGGUUUCUACUCGUUUGACACGACCACAAACGAGUGGAAACUGCUAACUCCGGUCGAAGAAGGACCCACUCCUCGUAGUUUCCACUCAAUGGCAG